rnacentral:misc_RNA from 1 species
CCCUCCCCUAAAUCACUCAAAAAAAACAAUCCCCAAUUCUACACAAGUGUUUCUACACUAACAAAGCAACAGCUCCUUAACGAAUUCCCAACUUUACAUGAGCUCGUCUCUCGAGGUUAAAUGUUAUUACUUGGUAAGAUUCCGGACCUCGCCAAGUGUUUUGAAAACCCGCAACGCUCGCAAAGGUGGAUAGUGAGAAUAAUAAGUGAAGAGACAGACUUGUCCAAAACGCCCACCACGAAGGUGCAUAGUGAGAAGAGUAAGUCAAGAGAUAGACUUGUCCAAAAAGAAACGGAAGAGAAAGCUUGGGGAGACGCUCACGAAGGUGCAUAGUGAGAAGAGUAAGUCAAGAGAUAGACUUGUUCAAAAAGAAACAGAAGAGAAUGCUUGGGGUUACACUCACGAAGGUGCAUAGUGAGAAGAGUAAGUCAAGAGACAGACUUGUUCAAAAAGAAACAAAAGAGAAUGCUUGGGGAGAUAGAAGUGUGAGAUAGUUCUCAAGCUAAGAAAGUUGUAAAAGCUAAGAACUAGGAGUGGUCGAGGAUUUGUCGACCAGGAGUUGAAAUCGUCGACCGGGACCGAGAAUUCGUCGACCAGGACGGCGGAAUGCUCGACCAGGACGAUGAAUGGGCGAUGAAAAUCUAUCGGGUUAGAGGAAUGGUCGACCAGAAGUUGGAAUCGUCGACCGGGUCCGAGAAUUCGUCGACCAGGACGAGGAGUGGUCGAGGAUUUGUCGACCAGGAGUUGAAAUCGUCGACCGGGUCCGAGAAUUCGUCGAC